CCCGGGCCAGCCCGGCCUCGGCUCUCGGUGUCACCCGGGGGACACCGCGAGGGCCGGGGGACACCGCGCUGGGAGGGUCCCCGAGCCCCCCGAGCCCCCAGGAGCGGCCGAGUCCUUCGAGCUGGAGGAGGUGCCGAGCGAGGAGGAGGAGGAUGACGGUGAUGAUGAUGACAAGGAUGACGAUGACGAUGAUGAGGAUGAUGAUGAUCCCGAGGAAGCCACCCGGUCCCCCCAUCCCUUUAUCAGGAGCUCCCUGCUCCACGGGCGCUCGGGCAGCAGCGGCUUCGGGGAGGAGCCGCUCCCGACUCUGUGACCCGAGGCCACCUCAGGAGGACGUGUGACCUCGCCCGGGCGUCCCACGGACGUUUUGGACACGCGUGUGACACGUGUGCGUGUGCGGUGUGCGUGUGUGUGUGCACGUGUGGGUGUUUGGCACAGGAAAACCUCCGGAUUCGGGAUUUUGCCCCAUUUUUUGUCCCUCCCUCGUCCCCCAGCCCUGUGGCUCGGGGCCUGCAGUGGGGACAUGUCCCCAGCCCUUGGGGAUGUGUCCCGAACCCUCAGGGACAUGUCCCCAACCCUCGGGGAUGUGUCCCCAACCCUCGGGGAUGUGUCCCCAACCCUCA